rnacentral:tRNA from 1 species
UCCCUCAUAGCUCAGUUGGUAAAGAAUCUGCCUGCAAUGCAGAAGACCUGGGUUCAAUUCCUGGGUUGGGAA